rnacentral:rRNA from 1 species
AUUGAACGCUGGCGGAAUGCUUAACACAUGCAAGUCGAGCGAGCUGUAGCAAUACAGCUAGCGGCGGACGGGUGAGGAAUACAUAGGAAUCUGCCUCAGAGCGGGGGAUAGCCCGGGGAAACUAGGAGUAAUACCGCAUGAUGUCGCAAGACCAAAGGGGGGGACCGCAAGGCCCCACAACCUGAGAUGAGCCUAUGUCUGAUUAGCUAGUUGGCGGGGUAAUGGCCCACCAAGGCGACGAUCAGUAGCUGGUCUGAGAGGACGAUCAGCCACACCGGAACUGAGACACGGUCCGGACUCCUACGGGAGGCAGCAGUGGGGAAUAUUGGACAAUGGGCGCAAGCCUGAUCCAGCAAUUCCGCGUGGGUGAAGAAGGCCUUCGGGUUGUAAAGCCCUUUAAGUUGGGACAGAAAAAUCGGCGAUAACAUCGCCGGUCUUGAUGGUACCGACAGAAUAAGCAACGGCUAACUCUGUGCCAGCAGCCGCAGUAA